AGCCUCUGACAAAUACAACUGCAGCGUGUGCAGCGAGAAGAAGCCUGUAGGCGGGAGACAUGCCCACGCGCGCCGCUAGAGGGAGCCGCGAACACACUGACGUUAACGCGGAUUGUGUUUAGGAAAAACAUGAGGCUCUUCUCAACUCACUGACAUUGUGUCACACGAACAAAGAAAAAUGCCAGAAGAAGUUCCUGCUCAAUGCAAGGCUCCCAAAGAUGAGCUGGACAAAUGUAUUCAGGGGAAGGGUGCAGAGGGCUGUAAGGAGCUGCUGGAAGCUUUUGAGGCCUGUGUGAAGGGGACCAUGGCAGCCUCGUGAGGGAACAUGGAUUUACAUGUCCUUCCUUUCCGGGUCCUCCAGUGCCCUUGCAUUCCCUCACAUUGCACUGGACUAAACCAUUCUGAGGACAGAGAAAGGGGUGCAAGAGCUGGAGAGCAGUGGGAUUGUUUAUUUUGAUCCUGGGAAGUCUCUGUUGGUGUCCAUCAUGUUAUUUGUAGCAGUGGAAGAAAUAAGAAAACAGUUUUAUUAUUAUUAUUAUUUUCCAGAUUUCACACUGUAAUUAAACAGUGCAUUUCAUUUGUUUUUCAAUAAAUCAAUAACCAUGACAAUUAA